AUGAACGCUAGCGGCAGGCUUAAUACAUGCAAGUCGAGGGGCAGCAGGUGUAGCAAUACAUGCUGGCGACCGGCGCACGGGUGCGUAACACGUAUGCAACUUACCAUCAACUGGAGCAUAGCUCCGAGAAAUCGGAAUUAACACUCCAUAAUAUUCUGAUAAGGCAUCUUAUUAGAAUUAAAGCUCAGGCGGUUGAUGAUGGGCAUGCGUCCGAUUAGCUAGUUGGCGAGGUAAUAGCUCACCAAGGCAACGAUCGGUAGGGGGUCUGAGAGGAUGAUCCCCCACACUGGUACUGAGAUACGGACCAGACUCCUACGGGAGGCAGCAGUAAGGAAUAUUGGAUCAAUGGAGGCAACUCUGAACCAGCCAUGCCGCGUGCAGGAUGAAGGUCCUAUGGAUUGUAAACUGCUUUUAUACGGGAAGAAACCCCUUGAUUCGUUCGAGGGUUGACGGUACUGUAAGAAUAAGGAUCGGCUAACUCCGUGCCAGCAGCCGCGGUAAUACGGAGGAUCCGAGCGUUAUCCGGAUUUAUUGGGUUUAAAGGGUGCGUAGGCGGAAUAGUAAGUCAGUGGUGAAAUCCUGCAGCUUAACUGUAGAAUUGCCAUUGAUACUGCUAAUCUUGAGUAUAUUUGAAGUGGGCGGAAUGUGUCAUGUAGCGGUGAAAUGCUUAGAUAUGACACAGAACACCAAUUGCGAAGGCAGCUCACUAAACUAUAACUGACGCUGAGGCACGAAAGCGUGGGGAUCAAACAGGAUUAGAUACCCUGGUAGUCCACGCUGUAAACGAUGAUUACUAGAUGUGUGCGAUACACUGCACGCGUCCAAGCAAAGUGUUAAGUAAUCCACCUGGGGAGUACGAUCGCAAGAUUGAAACUCAAAGGAAUUGACGGGGGCCCGCACAAGCGGAUGGAGCAUGUGGUUAAUUCGACGCAACGCGAAGAACCUUACCUGGGCUCGAACGGCUUAAGACAGACUGUAGAAAUAUGGUUUUCCCGCAAGGGACUUGAGUCGAGGUGCUGCAUGGCUGUCGUCAGCUCGUGUCGUGAGAUGUUGGGUUAAGUCCCGCAACGAGCGCAACCCUUGUCCUGUGUUGCCACUCCGCAAGGAAGCACUCUCAGGAGACCGCCAGCGAUAAGUUGGAGGAAGGUGGGGAUGAUGUCAAGUCAUCAUGGCCUUUAUGUCCAGGGCUACACACGUGCUACAAUGGCCGGUACAAAGCGCUGCAAACUCGCGAGAGGGAGCUAAUCGCAAAAAAAACCGGUCUCAGUUCGGAUCGCAGGCUGCAACUCGCCUGCGUGAAGCUGGAAUCGCUAGUAAUGGCGUAUCAGAACGAUGCCGUGAAUACGUUCCCGGGCCUUGUACACACCGCCCGUCACAUCACGAAAGUGGAUUGUACUAGAAGUCCUAAUCAAACAGGCCCAAGGUAUGAUUCAUGAUUGGGGUG
rnacentral:rRNA from 1 species